UACGGGGGGAGCAAGCGUUGUUCGGAUUUACUGGGCGUAAAAGGGCGCGUAGGCGGCGCAACAAGUCACUUGUGAAAUCAUCCGGGCCUUAACCCGGAGCGGCCAACUGAUAACUGCGCGGCUAGAGUGCAGAAGGGGCAACUGGAAUUCUCGGUGUAGCGGUGAAAUGCGUAGAUAUCGAGAGGAACACCUGCGGCGAAGGCGGGUUGCUGGGCUGACACUGACGCUGAGUGCGCGAAAGCGUGGGGGAGCAAACA
rnacentral:rRNA from 1 species